CAACCCCACAGAUGCAGGCAGGACCGAAGGCUGUUAAUCCUAAAUCACAGUGUGAACAGCGAAUGAGACGCUGGAGUGCAUCUUGUCCAAUGUGCUGCUUUACGUCUGGGCUGAAAAUGCAGAGCCGGAGUGGAGGAUCCUUUCCACAUGCUGCAGCAUCCAUAAGCAGGCUCUGGGCAGGUGGGAAGGAGACCCAGCUGUUCCACAAGACAUCUCUGAAGGGGCUGAUAACCAAUAUUCCUGGCACACUGGAGACAUGGAUCCCUGGUCUUAAUUUCAGGGAAGCCAAGACCAGAAGACCAGCAAUGAGGGUCAGCAUUAAUACCCUGUGCAAGUCAUCAGGACCAGCUCUGAACUCAGCAGUUCUUCUAAGACAUGUGUCUGUUCAUCUGCCCUCCUCGUUCCCAGCGAGCACCCAAAGGACACAUUAAAUAUAACCUCAGACUCUGGUACAGAAAUACAUCACGAAACAUGACCCUCAGGUUUUGGUAGCAGCAGAGGUGCAGGGGUGGCUUCUGUGAAGACAUCAGGAACUGUCCCUGUGGCAGACAGAACCAGUUCCAGCAGGAUGCAGAAAAGAUCUGCCACUGGUCAAAGCUGAGCCACAGCUCUCCAGAUGCGGCAUCACCAGUGUGGAGUAAAGGGGAAGGACCUUUAAACUUUGCUACCACUCUAAACAAAGUGGCUUCCUCAAAUACUGUAAGAAACAGAGCUAUUCCUGUCCACUAGCCCAUCAGACCAGCCCAUGAGGGAGAUGCCUGGUGACUGGAGGGAGGCAGAAGAACUGAAGCUAAAUACAAUGAUCUAACUGAAGAGACCUCAGUGCAUUUCAAUAGGCAUAGGCUUAGGCAGAAAGACUUCUCAACCCUGGGCUCAGAUCUGUAAUAAUUUCCUGACAAAGAAAUCACAGAAAUAUUUUAUAGGAAGUGCCAUCAAGAAGUCAUCUAGUUCACUUCCUUACUGCUUGGCUGGAGAGUUCGAACAGUACAUGGGAAACAACUGUGGUGCAAGCUGUGUGUAAUGAGGGAUGGGCACAGCUGCAGCCAGGCUGGGAGCAGCUGCUUCCACAGGCUCGCAGAAUCCUUUGGGUCCAGCAU